rnacentral:tRNA from 1 species
GUGGCUGGGGCUCAGUGGCAGAGUGCUCACCUAGCAUGUGUGAGGCACUGAGUUCGAUCCUCAGCACCACA